rnacentral:lncRNA from 1 species
UGGGAGCUUAAGGGCGCCGGCACGCGUUCCCCUGGCGCAGAGCUCGCUAGCCGGGGCGCGGGCUGCCUCCUUGUUCUGGUGUGAUCCGAAUGUAACGGAGCGGACUUUGGGAUCCAGAACCCCGGACUGAGGUUGUGCUUGGCUUGAGGGGCGGGCUGGAUUUUUCCUCUUAGGAUUUAUUUCCCUGGAGACCUCAUGAAGAAUGAUGUGGGUUCUAUAGGGUACAGUGUGAUCUGGGUCCUGCCUAAUCUCCUUUCUAAACUUCAGAAAAUCAUGUACCUUGGAGUUGUGGAGGCAUGUUUAUAAGCAGAUCUGAGUUUUGCCACACUGGAAUUUAUUUAUUCAUUGAACAAAUAUUUAAUACCUACUACAAUUCUUAGCCGAUAUAUCAGCACAACUUCUCUGCUCCAACUAGUCUACAUUGCAAAGCAUCUCCUAGUGUCUUUGGAAGAAGGAUCUAUGGUGUUAUAUGUGAACAAAGAUGUAGACUAGUAAGGUAUCAAGAUUUGAUGGGGAUAUCCAGACAACUUGGAGCCAAGUCCCCACAGCUGGAUCAGACAACUUUUGGUGACAUCUCACAGUGUGGAUUAUCAAGCCAGUGUAUCAGUCUGGAGCCUAGGUUUUUUGCCUUUAGCUUUGCUCAGGAUGACUUCUGCUCUUCUAUGGCAAUACUUGAGAAGCUACAGCUUUGAUUAGACGAGAGGCUAUUUCAAUAACUUUCUCCUGAUAAGAAGACCACCGACCGUGGACGGAUUCUGGCCAGUUUACAAAGGCUGCAUACCAUAGGGCAGGGCACCCCACUAUGGCAAACACUAAUAAUGAUAUUGCUCCUGAUUUUGUUUCUGAAGGGAAUGCCUCUAAGAUUUCUUCAUUAAUUAUAAGAGACUGGGUCUCACUCUGUUGCCC